rnacentral:rRNA from 1 species
GACGAACGCUGGCGGCGUGCUUAACACAUGCAAGUCGAACGGAAGGGCCCUGCUCUUGUGGGGUGCUCGAUUGGCGAACGGGUGAGUAUCACGUGUGUAACCUGCCCUUGUCUUUGGGAUAACUUUAGGGAACUGCGGCUCUUACCGGAUAGGAGCUCCUGCUGCAUGGUGGGGGUUGGAAAGUUUCGGCGGUUGUGGAUGGACUCGCGGCUUAUCAGCUUGUUUGUGGGGUAGUGGCUUACCAAGGCUUUGACGGGUAGCCGGCCUGAGAGGGGUACCGGCCACAUGGGGACUGAGAUACGGCCCAGACGCCUACGGGCGGCAGCAGUGGAGAAUAUUGCACAAUGGGCGGAAGCCUGAUGUAGCAACGCCGCGUGCGGGAUGACGGCCUUCGGGUUGUAAACCGCUUUCGCCUGUAACGAGGCGUGAGUGACGGUAAUGGGUAAAGAAGCACCGGCUAACUACGUG